CUUGGGCCACUCCCGUGGCAUAUGGAGGGUCCCAGGCUAGUGGUCUAAUCGGAGCUGCAGCUGCCAGCCUAUACCACAGCCACAGCAACGCGGGAUCCGAGCCGAGUCUGCAACCUACACCACAGUUCACGGCAACGCCGGACUGUUAACCCACUGAGCAAGGGCAGGGACCGAACCCGCAACCUCAUGGUUCCUAGUCGGAUUCGUUAACCACUGCGCCACGACGGGAACUCCUAUAGGAGUGGCCAGCUUGCUGGAGAAUAACAUCAAUUUCAAAUUCUUGGCUUGGGUAUAGAAUUCAUAGGCCGGCCACUUCUUCCAUUUGGCAGAGACAAAAUCAAGUCCAUCGGAUGGUGGCUUUGCAUGUCCAUACUUGUCAGCGUGACCAAAGCACAGCCUUAAGGGAGCAAAGGCUACAGCAAGAUGAAGAAGUUCAAACUCAAAAGUGAGAUUCACUGGUUUCAAGGAAUUUUUUUUUUUUUAAAUGAGACUCUCAUUCCUUAAAGACAUACCCUCAACUGAAAAUACACACGCCAAAACCAAAACAACCCAAAAAAACCCCACCAUGAAUUACUCUUUCACCAAAUUCCUACAAAACCACGGUGGAUCAGCCUAUUCAUAAGAAAAUGACGUCUUCCACAGCAUGUAUCUCAAGCAAAAACUAAGCUGGGCAAAUAGUCAAGCCUAUUUUCUUUACUGUUCUAGGACAUUUCAUGGUGUCUAUUUCUCAGUAUUGGGUUUCUAAUUAAACUGGAUUUGCUUAGGUUUGUUUGAAAUGGUAUGUAUAUACAUUUAGCUAUUAAUAAGUAUAACAAUAUACUUGUAGUAAGUUCAUUAUAUACUUAUAUGAUAUACAUAGAAUAUGUUAUUAACUCAUCAGUAAGUAUAAGAAAUCAUCGGCUGACUGUGGCCCCAAGUUGUCCCAGAGGGGAUUUGAAUUUUUGGGGGGUGUACACCACAGCAAUUUAUAAUUUUUAAGGGUUAUACUCCAUUUAUAGUUAUAUUGGCUGUAUUUCCUAUGAUUUACAAUACAUCCUUGUAGUUUAUUUAAUUUUUGCUUUUUAGGGCCACACCUACGGCAUAUGGAAGUUCCCAGGCUAGGGGUUGAAUGGGAGCUACAGCUGCCAGCCUACACCACAGCCACAGCAACUCGGGAUUUGAGCUGCAUCUGCAACCAACACCACAGCUCACAGUAACACUGGAUCCCCGACCCACUGAGCGAGGUCAGGGAUCAAACUCACAUCCUCAUGGAUACUCAUUGGAUUUUUUUCCACUGUAGCACAACAGGGAACUCCUAUUUUAUACUUAGUGGUUUGUACCUCUUAAUCCCCUACCCCUGUUGCCCUCCUUCCCUCUCCCUGGUAACCACUAGUUUAUUCUUGGUAUCUGUUUUGUUUUUUUUUUAAAUAUUCACUCAUUUGUUGUAUUUUUCAGAUUCCACAUAUAAGUGAUAUCACAUAGCAUUUGUCUUUCUCUGACUUAUAUCACUUAGCAUAAUGCCCUCUAAAUCCAUCCAUGUUGUUACAAAUGGCAACAUUUCCUUCUUAGGAGGCACAUGGGGGUUUAAUAAACCUACUGAGGAUAAAGCUCAGCAGCUGUUCCAUGCCCUAAGCAAGUUGUCUGCUGAUUUCUUAGCAUGAACAAUUAAACCUGAAAAUAAACUUUUUAUUAAAUGCAAAGCUAGAGUUAUUAAAAGUGGCAUAUACUGGGCUAUGACUUCACUGAUAAUUGAAUUAGUACACUGUCAUUUUUCUUUACUUUGCCUCAAUGUGUUCUUCAUUAAAGUGAAAAAAAUAACAAUUUUUAAAAAAGCAUAUUAUCCUUAAUCCAUUGCAUUAGCCUAGUUAUUAGUUAAAUCAUUGUUGGAAGGAAAAGUGGUCCCACUGCUGUUCUUCUAUUAAAUGACUAUAACUUUAAAUGAGCUGUAGCUAACGGAAGAGAGCUCAGACUGUCUUCUGAAACUGUAGCAGUUGCAAGAAAACAAAAAUACAGAAGUUCCAAUUACUUCCUAAUGUUCACUUCACAUAUCAUAUAUGAAAUCAAAUUCCAGAAAUUAUAAUGUCCAUUCCUGUGAAAUGGCUGCAAAUUCAACCUGGUUUUAAAAUUUUGUGUUGAAGAAAGAUUUUUUUUUUAAAAAAAAGAACUUAAAAUCUUUACCAAGCACCUGGUAGGUCUACUGAUGUUGUUUUUAGUUCUACUGACAAGCUCUAUAAAACACAGGUGCUUAGGAGUUCCCGUUGCGGCUCAGCAGUUAACGAACACGACUAGGAUUCAUGAGGAUGUGGAUUCGAUCCCUGGCCUCGUUCAGUGGGUUAAAGAUCUGGCGUUGCUGUGAGCUGUGGUAUAGGUUGCAGAAGCUGCUUGGAUCUGGUGUGUCUGUGACUGUGGUGUAGGCCAGCAGCUGUAGUUCUGAUUGGACCCCUUGCCUGGGAACCUCCAUAUGCCGCGGGUGUGGCCCUAGAAAAAUUAAAAAUAAAACAUAGGUGCUUAAAGUUGUUUUGUUUUUAAACAUUCUCACUCUAAGAUGGCACAAACUGUUAAGAAAGUAAUAUACUAAAACUAGGUAUUUGUAUUGCCAACCCAUAAUCCUGAAUAUCUUUUAUUCAGAACAUAGCUUGUGUAGCUUCCACUUGGUUCCUUAUUCAUUUUCUCCUUUCACUUUAUUAAAAUAAAUCAGUAAAACUAUCCACAAUUUAAGACAACAGCAAGGCCUAUAAAUGCAGGUUUCGGAUUCAAAUUUCUCUGGGAAAUGUUUUCCUUCCAAUUCUCUCUGCCCUGGGAUUUCAUGUUUUCCCUUUUAUUGGUGGCAUCCAAUACCUCCAAUUUUUAACAUUUUCAGACAUGUGUUUCUCUGUAGGUUAAAAGGAAGGAAGUUUAUUCAAACAGCUAAUUCCCAAGUUUAAAGUUCUCAUAUAAUGUAGUUUUUGCUCACGUCUCAAUGACAUAAUUCCCUAAGCUUAAACCAUCAAACAUGAUUACCUCUCUUUGUGCAAAAAGCCACAUACUACAAAUAGUUUUUGUCACAAAACGGUAUUCAUGUAUAAAAGAAAGAAUAGAUACAAGAUUUUACUUAUAAAAGAUUGCUAAAAUAUGUAGCUCCCUUAUAAUCAUAUACUGUUGAACUGCUCCAACUGACUAGUUCUCAACACCAUUUUCUCAGCAAACUUUGCUUUCUCUCUUCCUGCUAAGCAGAAACCUUAAAAAACAGAUCAGAAGCAUUUUAAUGAAGUAGAUGAAAACAGCCAAAAGUUCUUGAAGCCCUACAGAAAAACUGUAGAUGUGAUCAGGCCCUGACAUGUCACGUCUUCUGUACCCUCAUCGUCUCUCCUGCCCUAUUUCACAUACUCUGGUAAGUCGGUUCCUCUGGCUACUGGAUACGACCUGAGAUUUAAAAAGCAAAAACGCUGUCAUAAUACGCUUUGUAAAAUCUUGAAUGUCGUAAAGGAAGUGGAAGAGGCAUUUACCUACAGUGUGAUUUGGUUUUUGCCAUAAAAAAGCAAAUUUAAACCUGAGAAGUAAAGAGCCCAUUGACUGCAUUCACUUACAGGAGAACAAGACUUCCUGACAGAAGUUCAAAUGCACCCUACCCCGUGGGCUGGCGAGUGUUAUACACCCCACACUGUCUUGGGGUGAAGCAGGAUUAUGGCUACGACAAUACUCCACAGUGGCCAGAUGCCACAAGUACAGUCAGUAGCAACGGAGUCAUUUCUAAGUCAGCUACAGAAAGUAACCCCAAAUAUCACUUCCCUAGAAAUACUGGCCAGUGCUCUAUCGGGAAAAUAGAUUUUGAAGAAUGACCCAUAAAACUUCAAAAUUGAGACCCCAUUCCUUAUCAUUCAAUAGGAAAUUUAAAAAAGAAAACCGAAAGGAUUUCGCUUUCCUAACGCAUGGCUACUCCUCUGCUUGGUUGUUCUUAAAAAUAAUUUAUGUAAAGCAGGAUUUUCUCUAAAUAUACCGUGCUCUCUCAUACACAUUGCAAAUGAUAUUUGCAUACACCGAGUGUAUGCACUGAUACACACAUGGUAAAAAGUUAAAAAAUAUAGACUGCAUAAAUCAGAAGCUGAUUUUAAACAGACACCAACUUCAACAGAUUUGUUUGCAAUUUCUGAAUUCUUCAGGUAGAAAAGAUCUUUCUUGCUGGCUACGAUUGUAGAAGAUGUUUAUGUUCUAUAGAGUGUGCAAAAAUGCUUCUCCAUAUAAACAAAGAAAGAAAGGUUCCAGGAUCUUGGUAUUCUAACCUUGCCUUUGCUAUUAAAUAUCCAUCCAAUGACUGUGAGGAGACUGGUGAAAUCAGCCGGUCAUGCUACAGUAAACAUGGUAUUUUGUGCACUGCCCAAGACAUUUUUUCUCAUGAAUAUAAGUCACCUGCCAUUUAUUAUGAGAUUUUUUUUUCCCCGACUGACACCCCAUUAUGUAUAUUCAGUCAAGCUCAAACAAGAUUUCAAGUGAUCAAUACACUAUUGGUGCUGAAAGUCUAUUAGCCACUCUAGCAAUAAACUCUGCAGCGAAACGAAGAAUGGAGAAAUAUUUAGUGAACUGAAUUACACAGAAGUCCAUGUUUAGGGGCAAGGGAACAGAAAGAGGGAGGCAGAAAAGCAAGGGGAAGACAAGGGAAGGAAGACAUUUUUCCUAAUAAAAAUCAGCUUUCUGGAGCCUGACCAAUGAUCAAAUGCAUUAAAUGCCUAAGAAUUGUUUCAAAAAUAUCUUAAAUUACAUGGUGAGGUCUCUAAAGAAACAGGGAGGGGUCUUCCUCUGGGUCCCUUUCUGAGAACAGAGAGUUGCUUCCAUAAAGAACCAUACGUGGAAGUAUUUGAUAUCCCAAAGUGGAGAAGGCAGGCCGAUGGUAAAAUCCUGCACCAUCCAGUGUCUAUGUGUCCAAGAGCAAUGCCGUGUUUGAACACUUUUCACUUUAUAUCUGAAGCGUAGCAGAUCUCAACAGGGAGCUGAGCUCAAGAAGUAUUCUGGUUCAUCUAUGCAUUAGGAAAGCUAACUCAAUAGCCGCCAAAGGAUUUCACCUGGCACAAAAGAAUGCUGCU
rnacentral:lncRNA from 1 species